UCCAUCUUUUACAGUGUCAGAGAGAUUGUAACUAUGAUCAAGGCCUCUCUUGUUCUCCUUCUGCAUUCAAAUGCAUGCUGAGAUUUGGGCAAUUGCUGCCCUGUUUUCAUUUCCACCAUUGACUCCUUCUGUUUGGAAGCUCACUUCAGCUAUCUGGAAUGCUAUGACAUUACUGAGCUGGAUAAGAAAUAGGAAUGGAAGUGAGUAGGAAGAAGUGAAGGUCAGGAGUACACCCUAACAUACUAUUCUGCCAUCCACUCUCCCUGCAAUGCCUUAUGAGCACCUGACCUGCUCAAGCUGUCACACCUGAACUCCUGGUCUGCUUCCCAGCUCCUUGCUCACUGGCAGUGCUCAGCAGUGCCACGGAGAAGCAUUAGGGAAGUUUGAGCUCGACUUACCCUGCACAUGAGAACCCCGUGAAGCUGAAAACACCACAAGCUAAGGCUGACAGAGACUAGCUUUUUACUAAAUUGCCUGGAGAAUGCACACACAGCUGUGAAACCUGCUGCGUGCACACAGCCUGAACUGUCUCACGGGAAGGUGUGCUGUGGAAGGAAGGAUGUGGUGGGAACAUGUCUGGUGGGUGUGCAGCUGCUUGAACCUCAUGCUGGGAAGCAGAGCUGUGCUCAGGAGCAUUAACCCAGACCACUGGAGCUCCUGGUGGCAAGUCCAGACAGGCCACUCACUCUUUGCCUACAAUGACUCAGUAUUUUUGAUACCCCAGGGAAGCGGAAAAGGAACAGUACUAUAAGAAUGUCCACAGCCUGGAAAAACUGGGCACGAUCUCACAGUUCUUGUGAGGGUAGCAGGGUCCACAGAGGGUGCGGAUGGCCUAAGCAAGUGGCUGUUGAGGUGGGUUUGUAGUCUUGUCUGCUUCUGAAUGGUGGAUCCAGUACUGGUUCCAAGGAGGGGCUGCAUGCAGGGCCCUGCAGGCCUCACAGCAGUCAGCACUCCAGCAGGGCAGCUCUUCUGAACAGGGCUGCUUGGGGAUCGUGCCUUCAUGGUUUUCAGAGCUGCACUUCACUUGCUGGAGCUGGUGCCCAAGGCACAGUGAUGCCUGGACACUGGGGGCUCCAGGGAGGAUGCCACUGCCUGGGACCCGGGGCCAUGGGUUAGGCUGGGCCUCUCCUGCAGGGGGUGUUCUGGUUGAGGCCCUGAAUCACAGGGAGAGGAGAAAGAAGGGAAUAUUUAGAGGGUCUUUGUGGAAAAUAUGCAGAGACAGAAGCAGAGCCAUACAAAAUACAGGAAGGACAGUAGAAGCUGUAGUCAUGUGGGCAGCAGAGGGCAACUGCCACCGGAAACCUGGGUGUGUUAGGGAAACCUGAUCCUGUGAGGUGAGGGUGGCAAGCAGGGAAGGCAAGGUGGUGUCUCCUCAGUCCUUACAGUAAGAAGGCAAUGUUUCAGCAGAAGUAGACUUAUCUAGAAGGUCACCUGGCUACAUGGCUGAGGCAUGGUGCUGCAGUGACAGAAACAAUCCUGUCAGUGAACACUAACAAGUCUUAAUGAGAAAUGAGGAAACAUAAAGCACAAAGGAGGCCCUUGCUUUGGU